UACGUAGGGUGCAAGCGUUAAUCGGAAUUACUGGGCGUAAAGGGUGCGUAGGCGGGUCUUUAAGUCAGAGGUGAAAUCCUGGAGCUCAACUCCAGAACUGCCUUUGAUACUGAGGAUCUUGAGUUCGGGAGAGGUGAGUGGAACUGCGAGUGUAGAGGUGAAAUUCGUAGAUAUUCGCAAGAACACCAGUGGCGAAGGCGGCUCACUGGCCCGAUACUGACGCUGAGGUGCGAAAGCGUGGGGAGCAAACAGG
rnacentral:rRNA from 1 species